rnacentral:misc_RNA from 1 species
CUCGGUAUCCUGUGUUGCUUACCUAUCGAAAGGAAUCCGACGGUUUCGUUGGUCCCCCUCUCCGCCCUACGCCCUCGCGGGUUGUGGGGUGGACGUCGGGCAAGCCUCGUGUUCCCGGCACGCUUCGCCCAGUUGCGUGGCUGCCUCGGCCCACGGGGUGCACUGCCCGUGCUCUCGGAUGCGGAACGUUAUGCGUGGGCGUGGGGUCUGUUGGCUCCGUUCGCCCGAGCAACGCAUUUGUCCAUCGACACGAACGACCGUCGCGCCCGUCUCGAGCCCGCGGCCGUCCGGCCCGUCGGGUCUCGUGCGGGCGUCGACGUCGCGAAGGAAUGCUACCUGGUUGAUCCUGCCAGUAGUCAUAUGCUUGUCUC